GUAAGUGACUAUAGCAUCAGGGUUCCACCUCUUCCCAUUCCGAACAGAGAAGUUAAGCCUGAUCACGCCGAUGGUACUGCGUAACAGUGGGAGAGUAGGUAGUCGCCGUUU
rnacentral:rRNA from 1 species